rnacentral:rRNA from 1 species
GACGGGGGGUCCUAGCGUUGUUCGGAAUCAUUGGGCGUAAAGCGUGUGCAGGUGGUUUUGUAAGUUAGAUGUGAAAGCCUUGGGCUUAACCCAAGAAGUGCAUUUAAAACUACAAAACUUGAGUAUGGAAGAGGGUCGUGGAAUUCCAGGUGUAGUGGUGAAAUACGUAGAUAUCUGGAGGAACACCGGUGGCGAAGGCGGCGAUCUGGACGAUGACUGACGCUGAGACGCGAAAGCGUGGGGAGCAAACAGG